GCUCGGAGCGUGGGCCGCGACUCUCACGGAUCCGGUUCCGCCCUCCCUCUCGCCGUCGACCCUCGGGGCUGGCGCCCGCGAUCCCUUUCCCAGCGUGCUCCGCGCCGUGAAGAAGCGGCUCCCGGGGACUGGGGGCAUUUUGUGUUGGCUGGAGCCGGAGCAACAAGAUGGCGGCGUCGGCGGAGUGACAGGGGUCCCUCCGGGCGGGAGCUGGCGGCAGCGGGGGCAGCGGGAUCGCCGCCCUAACUCACCGCGCCCCUUUUCCAGCCGGCGACGUCGCCGCGAGAGCGAGGCAGCGGCGGCCGCCAGGAACAAGUGGCCCGGCCCGGCAACCGCGAGCACCGCCUCGGCAGCCUGCGGCCUGGCCGGAGGAAGCCUGACAGCCGCGGAGAUCCGGGUCCGCCUGGCCGGUUCCGGGCCUGUAGCGCCGAGAAGGAGCCAGCGCCCCCCGGUUCCUGCCGCGCUCCGCGGACGAGCGCUAGAGGCCUCCGUCGUCCCCUAGAGGUGUCGGGGCUUGGCCCCAGCCUCCAUCUUCUCCCAGGAUGGCGAGCAGCAGCGGCUCCAAGGCCGAGUUCAUUGUCGGAGGGAAGUACAAACUGGUGCGGAAGAUCGGCUCUGGCUCCUUCGGGGACAUUUACCUGGCGAUCAACAUCACCAACGGCGAGGAAGUGGCAGUGAAGCUAGAAUCUCAGAAGGCCAGGCAUCCCCAGUUGCUGUACGAGAGCAAACUCUAUAAGAUUCUUCAAGGUGGGGUCGGCAUCCCCCACAUACGGUGGUAUGGUCAGGAAAAAGACUACAAUGUGCUCGUGAUGGACCUGCUCGGACCCAGCCUCGAAGACCUCUUCAACUUCUGUUCCAGAAGGUUCACAAUGAAAACUGUACUCAUGUUAGCCGACCAGAUGAUCAGUAGAAUUGAAUAUGUGCAUACAAAGAACUUUAUACACAGAGACAUUAAACCAGAUAACUUCCUAAUGGGUAUUGGGCGUCACUGUAAUAAGUGUUUAGAAUCUCCAGUGGGGAAGAGGAAAAGAAGCAUGACUGUUAGUACUUCUCAGGACCCAUCUUUCUCAGGAUUAAACCAGUUAUUCCUUAUUGAUUUUGGUUUGGCCAAAAAGUACAGAGACAACAGGACAAGGCAACACAUACCAUACAGAGAAGAUAAAAAUCUCACUGGCACUGCCCGAUACGCUAGCAUCAAUGCACAUCUUGGUAUUGAACAGAGUCGCCGAGAUGACAUGGAAUCAUUAGGAUAUGUUUUGAUGUAUUUUAAUAGAACCAGUCUGCCAUGGCAAGGACUCAAGGCUGCAACAAAGAAGCAAAAAUAUGAAAAAAUUAGCGAAAAGAAGAUGUCCACACCUGUGGAAGUUUUGUGUAAGGGGUUUCCUGCAGAAUUUGCCAUGUACUUAAACUAUUGUCGUGGGCUGCGCUUUGAGGAAGCCCCGGAUUACAUGUACCUGAGACAGCUAUUCCGCAUUCUUUUCAGGACCCUGAAUCACCAAUAUGACUACACAUUUGACUGGACAAUGUUAAAGCAGAAAGCAGCACAGCAAGCAGCCUCUUCAAGUGGGCAGGGUCAGCAGGCCCAAACCCCCACAGGCAAGCAAACUGACAAAACCAAGAGUAACAUGAAAGGUUAGUAGCCAAGAACCAAGUGACGUUCCAGGGGGAGAAAAUUGAACACAAAAUUGGGUCAUUCAUCCAUAUCUAACAGUGUUAGAUCGAGGAGGUGGUUUAAAAUACAUAAAAAUUUGGCUCUUUGUUUUAAAAAAAGACGUCCUUGGAAAAUUUGACUACUAACUUUAAACCCAAAUGUCCUUGUUCAUAUAUAUAUAUAUGUAUAUGUAUUUGUAUAUACAUAUAUGUGUGUAUAUUUAUAUCAUUCCUCUUGGGAUUUUGGGUCAUUUUUAACAACUGCAUCUUUUUUACUCAUUCAUUAACCCUUUCCAAAAUAAAUAUUUGGUCUUGGGAAUAUGGUGUGAUCAAGCAAUCCAAAAUCCUAGACCUAACACUUGUUGAUUUUUAAUAAUGAAUCUGGUUAGCCUUGAUAUUUUGACUUUUCCUUCAGACUAACAGUGUUAAGCCUUUUUCUGCAUGUUAAAGCUCUAUUUCACGUUUAAAAUGGAAAAGUGGGAACGUGAUCUAAUUUUAAGAGGUGGGUCUGGCAUUGCCCCCAGAGUGUCUGUCUGCUCAGUGCAGAGCGCUGUGGACAUGCUCUUAAAGCUCAGACGACUGAAAAGCUUGGCACGUCUUCAUCACAAAAAUAGAUCUUCCGUUGCUAGUUAAUGUGUUUUUAAUUUCAAAAUCGUUUUUUUCCUUAAGAUUUGAUUUUUUUUAAGUGUACAAAUAUUCAGGGUCCAGGGGUCCACCAUGGAAUUGAAUUCUCUAGCUGUUCCAUACAAAUUGAAUAAAAGCAUCAACUGGGGCAAAUGCCAUUGAGCUGCUAGUCUGUCUCCUUUCUCUCCCUGGCACUCCUAGUGCUGCGGAGUGGAACUGUCAGGGCACAGGGCCAUUUCUUACGACUGUUGCCGUGCAGUUCAACUCCUGUGUUUUUGUUUUCGUUUUUUUCUUUUCCCCUUUCUGGGGCUUACCUCCAGAUACUUGCCUACUUCCUGCAAGUGGUGGGCACGUAAGGUUUGAUUUUGGGUUCUGAUUAUUUAAUUUCUGAACGCCUGCUCUAGUCUGAACUUGGUCUUCUUUGGUCCAUAUUUUUAGUGUUGUGUUUAAAAAAAUUUUUGUAAUUUACAACUAGGCUCUAAUCUGAGGAUGUUUUUCAAAAAGUGUAGUUAACUGAUGUCGUCCUCAUCCCAGCAGCUCAUCUGUUAGGAAUGAAGUUGAAAUACUUGGCUUCCAUGUUUCUGUAUCUGGGAAGGAUCCACAGUUGAAGGUUUAGGGAGUGGGAGUUCUUAAUGAGAAGUUGGAGGUGAGGAGAGCAAAUACUAAAGCUUGCCCAGUGCUCUGCCUCUGCAUCACAGUUGGGACCUAAUUGUCCCUUUUGAGUCGUUGCAUAACUAAGCGCCAUUCAGCAAGUUCUUAGUGAGGUAGGUGGCUAGUAUUGCUGAGGAGGGGUCCUGCCUGUUGGGUGAGACCACAUAGACCCUCUAAACUGACAGGUUGGCAGCUGCAGUGUAUUUGCUUUCUCUCCCAGAUGAGCCCAAGUGUUGGCUAAAGCUGGCUGGGUGAUAGGAACAUCAUGGUGUCUAGAAUUAAAUUAGGUGAAAAUCUCGAGUUGGACCGGGAACACUUCCCUUCAGGCUUUCAGCAGCCUUCAGAAGGAAUUAUCUUAUCUUGAGCUAGUUCCAUUGUUAGUUUACUCUGUAUCUCUUACUCAAUAAACAAGCAGAAUUUUUGUCCUGCCUUAUCCAGGUCUAAAAGAUGAGAAGUUGGAUCCAUUGAGUUAGUAUGUUUCCUUGGAAAAAAUUGUAAUUAAACUUAAGUUUAAUCCUUACUUUUGUAUUGUAGCUGUUUUUCAUAAAAACAACUUAAGAUCUUAAAAAAAAUUCAUAGCAUUAUUUGACACUGGGACUAUACACAUUAUCACAUGAACCUGGAUUUGCAACAUUUUGAAAAAUUGGACUUUUCAUAAAGCACGCCACAUAUUGACUGCUUUCAGAAAGGCGUUUCCAGGCUGUAUGUUUUGACUCCAAGUAAAAUACUGCUUGCUGUUAAAACAUGCCUCUCCACAGAAUACAGACAACACAAUUCCUUUUAAUCUUUGAUUUGUAUUAUUUUGGACAUAGAACUUUGUGCUCUAAACAAAUCUUACACAAAACCCUGGUACAUAAAACCAUAGCAUAGCACAGCAGGUUUGAGGGUGGCAUGAAAUACGUAUGGGAAGCCUGUUCCCUGGCUGACCUCUCCCCCCACCCAGUUACCCGAAUUGGGUUCAGUGAGAAAUCUCCUAUGAAGCCUAGAGCUUAAAAACAACUGUUCCAGCUUUACUUACUGCUGGUGUCCUUCUCUCAGUAAUAAAGGGGUUUGAAAGCAUAUAGGGUUCCCCACAGUCGUUUUUUAUUCAGGGAAGAGCUCCUCCAGCUCCAUAUUUAUUGAUUUUAAGAAAUCCUAUAUAGGGAGUUCCCGUGGUGGCUCAGUGGUUAACGAAUCCGACUAGGAACCAUGAGGUUGUGGGUUUGGUCCCUUCCCUUGCUCAGUGGGUUAAGGAUCCGGCAUUGCCAUGAGCUGUGGUGUAGGUCGCAGGUGCGGCUCGGAUCCCACAUUGCUGUGACUGUGGGGUAGGCUGACGGCUACAGCUCUGAUUCGACCCCUAGCCUGGGAACCUCCAUAUGCCACGGGAGCAGCCCUGGAAAAGGCAAAAAGACCCCCCCAAAAAAAGAAAGAAAGAAAUCCUAUAUAGUUCCUGCUGUGGCAUGGGUUUGAUCCCUGGCCAGGAGCUUCAUGCUGUAGAUGUGGCCCCAAAAAUGCAUAUAGACAUCCUAUAGAUUAUUCGUUAUUCACUAGUUAUACCUUUGGGGGUUUCCACAUCAGAUACUUUCGUUUCUUAAAUGAAUCUUCAGCAGGUAAAUCUCUAUUGCAGGCCCAUGCGUUCCGGCGGGAAGGAGGGAGGGGAAUAUCCCCCAGAUGGUGGCUUCAAAGUCUGACUAUUCAGCUGUGAUGGGCUUAUUAGAUACAGUAGACUUUUCUUUGCUUUUCUAAAGAAAUGGUCUUUUGAAAGACUCCAUUUCAAAGCCCACCAGAAGACUAAGGUCCAAGGCCUCUUUCCUAAUGAUGCUCUGAUCUCUACUAUGAGGUGUCUGUCCUGUUGCCACGUGCUCAGGUACCACAGGCUGUAAUUACUGUUUCACACACAGCAAAGAGGGAAAGAAGAGAUUUUCAUCUCUGCACUUCCAAAUGCAUUUUUACUCCCUUUGCUUGAACUAUAUGCGAUUAUAAGGAAAGUGCUUUGCAAGACCUUGAAGUAGUAAAGGAAAAGGAAGUCUUUUUAGGACAUUCAGGAUCUACCUAAGUUCCCCAUCUCCUCCGCUGAGGCAGAGAUGGGGAGAAUUUCAGAGGGUAGUGGAGCCAAGUGGAGCCUCACAUGACUCUUGUUACUCGCGUCACCUGAGCCAUCUGGUCACGACUGUGGGCGUCAGGACGAAGCGUAGCUUUGCCGUGACGUGCAUGGGUGUCAACUUUUUGGCCUUUGGUAGAUGAGAAAUAGGUUUUCCAUCACAUGUCCUACACAUCCAUGGUCUUCCUUGAAUGACCUCCCAGUGUUUACUGGGCUUCACUUACUACUCAUGUCUAGCUUCCCUUUUUCUGGCUUCACCAAUCGCUGCUAGGAACGGGGCUGGUCAUUCAGCAACGUAAACCAAAUCACAGGGGAAGACCUUGAAAUAUCUGGAGAGACUGCUCUACUCUGAAUACUCUCAAUCCAGAGACGUGCCAGGGAGCUGCGUCUGUUUGCUGAAAUCUUUGUCAGCUUUUUCUCACUGUGGACAGUAAAGCUGGAGAGAAAAGAACCAAAUAGCCCAACAGGAAAUGAAGACGAGCACUUGAGAGCUGACUUGUGGUGACCUGAAGCCCACGUCUCGAAGGCUUGCUGCGUCUCAACAACUUUGCGACGUGGCGGGCUGACAGCAGUCAGAAGACCUAGAGGAAUGGAGUGCUGCUCGGCGGUGUCCAAUGCAGACCGUCUGCCAGUUGGGGAAGGAAUCACUUGAAACAGGAACAAAGGGAUUCAGUCCUUCAUUCUUUGUUUUGACUGUUGCAGUGAAGAUGAGUCUUUGGACUUUUAGAAGCUGUUUGACACCACCUAAACCGCAAGACACACCAGGGACUGACGCACCCUGGGGGAAGAAUGCUUACUCGCUGCAAGAUUGAAAACGGUGACCACCCAGCAGAUGCUCCCAAUGAGAUUUUUCCUAAACAAGCAACAGUAACGUUUUAGGACAGCUCACUGGAAAAACUGAUCCCUGGGUGGAGGGUCCUGCCGUCGGCCAGUCUGAAGAAUGAAAUCUGGAUUUGACUGCUCUGUUCUCCGGGAAUGUUGUUAGGCCAGCUUUUAACCAGCCCCUAAACAACUGUAAUUAUUCCCUGGCCCAGCAGUUCUUCAGAUGUCCCGCUAAGAGAUGAACAGACACAAUUCUUACGCCUGUUAAAGACACAAGAAUCUGCUAAUAUUUUGACUGCCAAUGUAACUUAUGUUUGUUUUGGGGGCUUUUUCCCCCCAUUACCGUGACAGCAGUUUCCAUUUUGAAUAUCCAGUCGGUUGGAUAUUCAACAUAGAACAACUUUCCCCUCUAUCUAAGUAGAGCAUUCCCGUGAAAGCUUUUACAAGUGAAAUGGUGUAAAGAAGGCGUUACCUCAGGAUGCCUCCUGCUCAUGAAUGGGGGUGGAGCAGAGAUGCUUGCAGACAGCGUACAAGCUGAGGCAGGGCAAGGCUGAGGGUAGGUCCCGGCAGAGACCGCCCCUGCUCUGGGCUGCCAGUGAAACAAAGGCAAAAAUCCCCUUAGUGAACACCGGUGCUAAUGUAGGUCUUUGAUGAAAAGUGCAGUGGUAUAAAGUGGACUUUGGAAAAGUAGGGGAUACCUGUAAUAAAUCCUUCAGUGAAGAGUACCAGUGUAAGAAGGCUAUGCGGAAAGAACACUCAGCGGUUUUAGUGGCUGUGAAGGGCUUUUUAUUAUGUGCGACAGUGGUUGCAGGCCUUGAAACCAAAUGCUCGUUGGGCUAAGGGUCAUUGCUGUUCAGCUCAUCCCUGUUAACAUUGGACCUCAAUUACAGUAUAAGGUCAGAUUUUAAUUCAGCUCUGAUUUGACAGCCUUCUUUUUGCGUUUACACUGCUAAUCCUGUUUAGAAGAUGCAUCCGAUAGGCAGUAUUCCCUGGGGUGUCCAUUUGCAGAAAGUUUCAGUAGGUAUCUUUCCUUUUUGGCAUUUGCUGUGUGAACUUAGUCCUUGGGAUGGCAACGAAGGUCUCUCCUGCACCUGCUCGGUUGCCGGGCACCUUGGAGAGACAGCAGAGUGCAGCAUGCGUGCACAUCGGUGUCUUUAGGGCUUGUCAGGAGGUACUUCCUGAGUGAAUGAAGGGGCCAGCCUGCCCUCAAGUGCAAAGCCUCCUAGAUAACAAGGUAGUGAGAGAAUAUUUACCAAGAAGUGAUCUGUUACUGUUCGGUAUUAUCUUUGAAAAAACGAAGGCAUUGCAUAGUGUGUAAAAAGUGAAUUUACAGAAAUAUUUCAUUUAUUCCACAAAAUAAAAUAAAAGUCCAGCAAAUGUCAAAGUACCAAAAAAAGGAGCAGCUUAUGAUGGACAGAAACAUGGCUUGUGCUCAGGAAGUAGGUGAUAAGAGUGGGCCAGGAGAGAACAGUUGGACAAAGGGGCAGUGAAGCCCUAAAGGAGGCCCGUAGGUGAGAGGAGGACACUGAUAAUGACGGGGUGGGUGUCCCUCUGCCUUCGGCCAUGGCUGCACAGGUGGGGAUGGCCCUGUUCCUUGUUGCCUUUCGCCGUAGGUAGACCUACCUGGGACGCCUUCUGUUCAAACCUGCCUUCUGUGGGAGGUCUGCAGUCUGAUUUGUGGGUGAAGAGAGGUGUGUUUACAGGUUGGUGAGGCUUGAAGUAAAGCCACGGAAGCCUCACUUGUUUACAUGUUCAAAUCGGCGAUAAAACUAAGGUUUUUAAUGUAGAAGUAUGGAAGUACCCUUCUUUUAAAGUCUGAGGCUCCUGUGUAAAAAUCAUGCUUUAAAUAUUUAGCAGGUUUGUGUUCAGUGGAAUAACGCAGAUAAUUAUGCCUUGAAUACACUUAUCAUGAAAGCCUUUUGUUCCUCAUUUGUAUCAGAAAUGCUAUACAGGAAGGUUCCUGCUCAUAAUAUGGUUAAAGUAUACUUUCUAGUUAAAACAGAGCAGUCUUAUUUUUUAUUAGACAAAUAUUUGAAGACAUCCUGUACUCCAGGUACUAGAAAUAUGGAAGUAGACACAGCGGGCUUACUGCAGCUGCUCCUAAACCUCCCUCUGUCCCGAGUCCUGCUGGACGGAAGGCUUUCUUUCCCUCACUGUGUGCGGCUCCCGCCUAGAGGCAUCCCGAACAGAACACUUUCCCGUUUCUCUGUUUUUAAACGCUGACCUAGUGAUUUUCACAUAGACGGAAAAGGAACUGUUUCCCUACCUUGGGUGCGGUUGAGAACUUUCUGACUUGGAGUUUUAACAUUCUCUUUUCUGUUUUGAUUUUUCUAAAUAGGUUUCUAAGCAUGAAUCGAGGAACAGAAGCAGCAGAGCAGAUGAUCGGAGCAGCAUUUGUUUCUCCCCAAAUCUAGACAUUUUAGUUCAUAUGUACACUAGCCAGUGGCUGUGGACAACCAUUUCCUUGGUGUAAAGAACUUCAUUUCGGUAUAAACUGGCUCUGGGCAGCACUGGCGAUACUGCGUCCCGAGUUGUAGCCGCUGUAAUUGUGAAUAUUAACUGAGAUAGUGAGACAUGGUGUCCAGUUUUCUAUUGCAUUUUUUCAAGUGGAAAAGUUAACUGAGUGGUUGACACACACAAAUUGGUGGACAGAUUGUGCAUAUGCCAAUUGUUUUGUUAAAACCUUUUCUUUUGAACUAUACUGCUUUGAGAUCUCACUUCAGAAGAACGGCAUGAACAGUCUUCAGCCGCAGUUGUGAUGGUUGUAAAUGCUCGCAGCUGUGCGUUCUUAGGGUUUCUUCAUCCCUGGGGUUUGCAAGUUGUUCACUUAAAACAUUCUUAACAUGGUUGGCUUCUUGUGUGCAAGCCAGCUGAUAUGGUAGCAACCAAAGAUUCCAGUGUUUGAGCAUAUGAAAGACUCUGCCUGCUUACCUGUGCUAGAAAUAACAGCAUCUAAAGUGAAGACUUAAGAAAAACUUAGUGACUACUAGAUUAUCCGUAGGACUCUGCAUUAACUCUAUAAUGUUCUUGGUAUUAAAAAAAGCAUAUUUGUCACAGAAAUUUAGUUAACAUCUUACAACUGAACAUGUGUGUAUGUUGCUUAGAUAAAUGUAAUCACUGUAAACAUCUAUAUGAUCUGGGAUUUUGUUUUUAUUUUGAAAUGGGAGCUCUUUUUUGUUUACAAGUUCAUUAAAAACUAAAAACUGUUUCUGUAAGGAAAUGAGAUUUUUUUAAAAACAAAAAAAUGCCUUGCUGACUCACUAUGAAAUCAAAAUCUCCCCAAUUUUUACGAGACUAUUUCAAGCCAUUUGUUAUGUAAUUAUCCUUUGCAAAUCAUUUUAGAUUUAGUACGAGGACUUCUCAAAUGUUUUUAUUUAAAAAUUUUUUUCCCUUGAAGCGAAAGGCAUUCUUACCAUUUUCUUUUUUUAAUGACUUGCAGGCGCAAUACCUCGUGCUGCAGCCGCAAGGGCCAGGACUUGGUAUUGUAACUCCUGCAGCCUCAGACGAACAGCUGGACUGAUUUUGAAUGAGAAUGAAAGCGUUAAAGGGUUUAACUACAAAAUGAAGCUUUUCUUUAAAUUCCUUGCUAAUUGGAUCUGAGGAGGUUGACUCCGAAACUUUGGAAAAGCAUCUUACCUACCCUGUGAGGUUCUGGGAUUGCCAGCCCUCCCUGGCUGCACUUCGUCUCAAUCCUAAUAUGUGGCUCUUUUCUCUUUCUGACCCAAGAAAAAGAAAAGCUAAGCAAUUCUUUAGUGUAAUUUCUUCAUUUAUAGCAUGUCCAGAUAAAUUAAAAGAACUUUUGUCUGAGAAAUGCUGCCAGGCGCCUAUUGUCUAAAUGUAGGGUAUUUUCUAAAAUAACCUUGAAAUUGUAAAUUGACACGUGUUUGAUCAGAUUGUGUCAGGUUUAAUUUGUUCCUUUUUUUUUGAAAACCACGUUAGCAAUAACUACUUCAGUGACUAACACGUUCUGCCGUGAAAGGAUCCCUGCUGGCACCAUCACGAGUGUGAACUUGGGGGAGGCAGCUGCUUUGUUUUGUUUCCUUUCUCUCCACCUCUGUCGGUUAAGGUACUUGUUCCUCGACUAAUAAACCCUUUGAUACUUUUAGCCAGAAAUCAGUCUCAUAAAGCUAUUUUUGAGUAUAGUUUGUGUAAAAUAAAAAUGUUUAGCUUUGGUAAUGACUUUUCCAAGCUGAACUCCCUCUAGCAAGAUAUUUUUCAGUGCUUUUAUUUACUAUGCACUUAGACUAUGCACUUUUUCUGAAAUAUUUUUGUAACACUUAACUUUUUUGUAUUUUGCCAUUGGAAAAGGUUGUGGUGUAGUUGGUCUGUAAUUAAUUACGUUGCAGAUGUAAAACUGCUGUUAGCUUUGUAAAUCAAACGAUAGGUGUUUUGUCCUGGUAUAUUGUCAUUCCAUUAUCUUCACAGUUCACACAAGAAGAAUGUGAAUUUCAGUGAAUGCUGUUACUAAUCCUGUCGGGAGAUGAAUCUCAUUUCACCAAAUUAAAUUAUGUUUUUCCACUAAAAUGAUGGUACAAGUUGAAGACACAUCACUUUGAAAUUGGACGACCUCACCACUUGAGCCCCGCGGUGGCUUCCUCCGCCGAACUCGAGGUUACUCUUGAUUUGUUCACCCACUGGGGGUGCAGUUCCUCUAAAUGUUGGGAGAUGGCCAUUCUAACUACUGUUGAAUGUCUCUGUUUUGGGAAGGUAUAACAAGAAAAUAAAAAAGAAUAUAUAUGAA